rnacentral:rRNA from 1 species
AACGAACGCUGGCGGCAUGCCUAACACAUGUAAGUCGAACGAGACCUUCGGGUCUAGUGGCGCACGGGUGCGUAACGCGUGGGAACCUGCCCUUAGGUUCGGAAUAACUCCCCGAAAGGGGUGCUAAUACCGGAUAAUGUCUUCGGACCAAAGAUUUAUCGCCUUUGGAUGGGCCCGCGUUGGAUUAGCUAGUUGGUAGGGUAAAAGCCUACCAAGGCGACGAUCCAUAGCUGGUCUGAGAGGAUGAUCAGCCACACUGGGACUGAGACACGGCCCAGACUCCUACGGGGGGCAGCAGUGGGGAAUAUUGGACAAUGGGCGAAAGCCUGAUCCAGCAAUGCCGCGUGAGUUAUGAAGGCCUUAGGGUUAUAAAGCUCUUUUACCCAGGAUGAUAAUGACAGGACCGGGAGAAUAAGCGCCGGCGAACUCCG